AUUUGCACAUGAGGUUGUGGUCUCAAGCCAAGCAGGCCUUGUGCAAAAUACUUGCAGUUCCUUUGAUACAAUAACCAAUAUUUUCCCUUUGCAGAGCGAGAGUGCAUCUCCAUCCAUGUUGGUCAAGCUGGUGUCCUGCUGGGAGCUCUGGUGCCCAGUGCAGACAGAUGCCCAUCAGCAAGACCAUCGCAGGAGGAGACGACUCCUUCAACACUUUCUCCAGUGAGAGCGGAGCCAGAAAGCAUCUGGACCUGGAGCCCGCUGUCGGUGAGUGUAAUCGCUUCUGGCUGAGCAAUAACGUAACUCAGAAAUUCAAGUGUAAAUGUGGCUGCCUGUGAUGAAGUAUUUUUGUCUCUUCAGAUGAGGUGGACAGGGGGACUUACUGCCGCCUGUUCCACCCUGAGCAGCUGAUCACUGCUUAGGAGGAUGCUGCUAACAAUUAAGCCUGUGGAAACAAUAUCACAGGCGUAGUGCUGGACAGGAUUCCCAAGCUGUCAGACCAGCUCCAGAGGUGGGACCGGCUUCACCUCUCCCCUGAUGGAGCAUCUGUCUGUCGACUACAUCCUAAGCUGGAUCCUAAGUCCAAGCUGGAGUUCUCCAUCUACCCACCGUCCAACGCUGUGGUGGAGCCACAACUCCAUCCUGACCACCCACUGGACAUUUAUGUUAGAAAACGAGGCCAUCUUAGAUAUCUGUCGUAGGAACCUCGAUAUCGAGCCAGGUAUCCUGUAAAUAUUUGCACCACAGACUAAUUUACAUGGUAGCAAAGAAAAGAAGAGAACAAAUGAGAUCUUCUGAGACUAUCGGGCGUCAAAGUGUUUCACAGUUAGACAUUCAAAUAAAAAACGAUAGCAUUCAAUGCAGAUACACUCACAUACAACACAUGACGAUAAAUCCGAUAGAGGUCUUUAAAUUACAAUAAGCCUACACAUCUGAUUCAAGAGGAAGUUACUGUUUCUUUGACUUCCUGUUUAUUCUCUAUACGCCCCUUGCUACUUUCUAGACGUGACUCAUUUGGCUUUUUACUGCUUUGCGCAACCGGGAGGCCAGAGUAAUUUUGGGGAGGAAACAGAGGCAUCUUUAUGUAGACUAUAGGGUUCAAGUCUCCUCCCGCAGCAGAGGUACCCAUCAGUUUACUCCAACGGACUGGAGACGUGUGGGCUCCCUCUACGGCAGACUGCACAAACACCUAAAUCUCACUUCAGACUCCUCUGACUGGAGCCUCCGUGGCCCUCGGCCGUAGACUCGCGUGUCACGUAAAUGCAGCCAAGCUCACAGGACUCUGCGUGCACCCGGGUGACAGGGUGAAGGUGGAAAUUGGUACGUAGGAUUGGGCUCAAGCAACACUAAACUUGCUCUAUGCCCAGAACACUGGCUGACUCAUUAUCGCCAAAACAGAUAUUAGAUCUGAUGAAGUCACCUUCUACCCAGACAAAAUGAUAUUUACAAUGAGAAAAGGAGGUUCUAUGCUUAUGCAAACAGCUGAGUUCAAAGAUGUAUCUAAAAACAGAGCCCAAUCACUGCAGGUGAUUACUAUGGAGGAAUUGCCAAUGUUGUCUUUUAAGGUCCUCUGGUGCUUUUCUUCAUAUCAUUCUUUUCUUCAACUAAAGGGAACUACAGUCCAGCAUGGGGCUUCUGAGGCACAGAUAGACGGCCUUGUAUCUAAUUAUAUCAUUCCAAAAAGGCUUUGGUCCCUGGAUCCUUUGAUUGAAUGGACCUUUUGAGAAAAGACCACCAACCUGCCUGGGCUCCAUCAUGUAGCAACUGGUUUAGUGCACCAUCAGCAUCAGGAACGGACACAACAUCUGGAAAAAUAUAAUGGUGUUGUCAUGGUGCAGGGGUAGAAAGGGUGCACUGGGAACUGCAAGGUUGGUGGUUUGAGUCCCAGCUGCCCAAAGUGUCCCUGAACAAGACACCUAACCCCUAAUUGCUCCCUGGGCAAAAUGUAAAAAGCCGCGGGGUAAAGAUGUAAUGUAAGUCGCUUUGGAUAAAGGCGGAAUACAAUGACUGUUAUGUUGGAAAAAAUGUACACCGUAGUUUAGGGAAAUAAAUAGAAAAGACCAUAUAAGCAGAAGCAGGUCAUAUAGAGAGUUAUAAAGUUAUUGUAGUGCGGUACAAACAAAUGUCAUAGUAUGUCAUUAAUAAAUAAACUCGUACCGUAUACUGUUAUGAAAGAUAUCAUGACAAUGUCAGACUAUAUCAAAGUAUGUGAUGUAAAACAAAAAAGCAGGUAAUAGAAAGAAAAAAAUGCAUUGUAUGACGAUUUUGAAGAAUAAUAUAAAUAAUUGGAAGGUAUGGAAAGGAUUACACAAAUAACCUUUGUAGAGUAUAGCAUGAAUUAAAAGUCCUGGUAUAGUGUCACCUUGUAAUGGCUGCGGUUGUCAGCAUUUAGCUGCAGUGUUGAGUGCUGUGGGGCUGCAGUAGAAUUCCACAUUAAGCACCUUUCGAGUUGUUAUUGACAUAAUAACACAUGGGAUGAGAACAUUGACGUUUGAGGAUUGUGUUGAGAAGUGUAGAUUUGAGCAGCUGCUCUACAAACAUGAGAUAUGAACAAACAUUCUUUUAGCUUUGGGAAAAUAGUUCACAUUGAGUCCUUCCUGAUGCAAAUUUAUAUUAAGAUGAGGUCAUGUCAAACGUCAACAUUUAUUGAUCAUAUAAUUCUGUGCAAUAACACAAAUGUACAAAUAAUCUUUUAGUAAAUAUUACAAUCCAGUUAGGAUUUGUUGCCACAAUAUGAAACAUAAAAUACAUUCAAGGUCUGUAAAGGCGUUGGUCGCUCUGCAGAGGCUAGAGGGGGAAGUAGCCAGGUGAAGUGAAGAUGCAUGCGCACGCACGCACGCACGCACUUUGGGGUUAUUUGGUCCAGAAUGAAAACUGUUUGUCGUCUUUGUGAGUCUCCACUGAUGGAGCAAAUGCACAAUAAUGUUAUAUUCUCUUGAUUAGACAUUUCAAUUAAUCAAAAUAUAAAAUUUUCCUUCACUCACCAGUAAAUGAACACAUCCGAUCAUUGUAACUUCUCUAAAUAUUUGAUAUACACAAAAUAAAUAUCACAAAAUGGUGCUUGUUUGUCACAAUCUACCGUCCUAGUGUCCGCACACGAGCAUGUUAUUAGUACCUUCACUGUGCACCACGCUGGCUUUAAAUCAACACCACCAAGAGAAACACUUUACCAAAGGUAGAUUCAGAUAGAGAUGGAGUCAGUUGCCGUGGAAACGCACAGGAUUUUUGUACU